GGGCGAUUAGCUCAGUGGGAGAGCGCUACCUUGACACGGUAGAGGUCACUGGUUCAAUCCCAGUAUCGCCCA
rfam:Frankia sp. EAN1pec, complete genome.